UAAAGCCAAAGAUGCCCCAGGCCGUCACACGCAUACGGGGAUACGAAGCUCACACACGAAAGUAGCUUUAAUUCGCCCGACCCCACGAAAGCUAAGAAACAAACUGGGAUUAGAUACCCCACUAUGCUUAGCCAUAAACACAGAUGUUACCAUUACACAAACAUCCGCCAGGGUACUACAAGCGCUAGCUUAAAACCCAAAGGACUUGACGGUGUUUCAGACCCACCUAGAGGAGCCUGUUCUAGAACCGAUAAUCCCCGUUCAACCUCACCACUCCUUGCUAUUUCCGCCUAUAUACCGCCGUCGCAAGCUUACCCUGUGAAGGUACUACAGUAAGCAAAAUGGGUAAAACCCAAAACGUCAGGUCGAGGUGUAGCUUAUGGGGUGGAAAGAAAUGGGCUACAUUUCCUACAUAAAAGGAUAUUACGAACGACCUCAUGAAACUGAAGUCUUAAGGUGGAUUUAGCAGUAAAUAUAAGUAGAGCAUUCUUUUGAAGCCGGCUCUGAAACGCGCACACACCGCCCGUCACUC
rnacentral:rRNA from 1 species